UUAGUGUGCAGUUUCCGUCGUGAGUGGCCUUGCCUUCACUGUGUCGUCUAGGUCGCUCUGAUACGUAACGGGAUAGGGCUAUAUGUUAUGCAUGCUUCGUUCUAUUACGUGAAUACUAUGCUAUUUGUUUAUUGAACUAACUCCUUUGAGACUAUUUUGAUGGGGCCUGCGUGCCAAAACGUUUUAUGAUUAUGAUAUAAUUUCCGCUGCAAUGUUUAAGAUAUUUGGUUAAAUUAUUAUUUAACUGUUUUGGAUUAUGUUAUAUGUG
rnacentral:lncRNA from 1 species